rnacentral:rRNA from 1 species
UGCGUAGGGUGCGAGCGUUAAUCGGAAUUACUGGGUGUAAAGCGUGCGCAGGCGGUUCUGUAAGACAGAUGUGAAAUCCCCGGGCUUAACCUGGGAACUGCGUUUGUGACUGAAAGGCUAGAGUACGGCAGAGGGGGGUGGAAUUCCGCGUGUAGCAGUGAAAUGCGUAGAGAUGUGGAGGAACACCGAUGGCGAAGGCAGCCUCCUGGGCCAGUACUGACGCUCAUGCACGAAAGCGUGGGGAGCAAACAGG